rnacentral:rRNA from 1 species
UACGUAGGGUGAAAGCGUUGUCCGGAAUUAUUGGGCGUAAAGAGCUCGUAGGCGGUUUGUUGCGUCGGCUGUGAAAUCCCGAGGCUCAACCUCGGGUCUGCAGUCGAUACGAGCAAACUAGAGUGUUGCAGGGGAGACUGGAAUUCCUGGUGUAGCGGUGAAAUGCGCAGAUAUCAGGAGGAACACCGGUGGCGAAGGCGGGUCUCUGGGCCGAUACUGACGCUGAGGAGCGAAAGCGUGGGGAGCGAACAGU